UUUUUUUAUUUCCUUAGACUUAGACCGCGCAAGACAAGAAUUUUUCGCUAUUUACGAUUUCAUAUUCUUGUUACUAGAUGUUCUAUAGGAAUAAGAAGAAAUCGCAACUCCUUUGCGCUACACAUAAAAUUGGAUUUCGAAGGUCCUUUUUUUUCAGAAUCCUCUAUUUUAGUUCUUCCACCCAUGCAAUAG
rnacentral:rRNA from 1 species